GGUGCAGGGAGGCUGACACCUGUGAGCCUGCGUGGGUCGGGAACUCUGGGAUCAGGGAACAAUCGUGAGGUUUUAAAGGCUGCCCUGUUCAACCUCAACCGCCAGGUCUUUCUGGUUCCUCACUCUCGUCGUCCCUGAAGCCCCAGAUAGCACUCCUCUCCCCGGGGUCGCUGCAGGCAGCAGCGCAUCGUGAGCCACAGGCACGCCGCUAGGCUGUGCGGAGAGUGCGUUGGUAUCCACGGACGUGCGUGCUCCAGGCUGUCUGUGGAGUGUGUGUGCAUCGGUGUGUCUGGAGGGGCCACUGUGUGGGAGGAAGGGAGUGUGUACCCUGUGUGUGAGUUGGUGCUGACUCCGCCAGAACUUCUGGUCCCUCCUCCUCCCUCCCUGAUUGCAUCAUUAGUGCUAAUUGAGGGGCUUUCACACGCCAGUGCAUUAGCUGUUUGGAGUGAGCUCCCCCCUCCUGGGAGAGAUAAGCUCUGCCCCUCCCCAUCCCGGCCCUCCACUUCCCCACAGCCCUGGAACUGUCCACCCAGAACCUCUCUCCUUCCUGGGCACCUUCCUGCCUCCCUCUGGUUCUGGACUGAGUAAUCUCUCUCCUCCCUGCAGUGUCAGAGAUUGGCUGGAGAGGAGUCAGGGAGGUGUCAGCAGGACCCCUCUCUGAGGGGUGUCAGGGAGGGGAGGUUAUCCUUGGUGGAGUGGGGGCCUGGAGAGCUCUGGCAUUCCUACAGAAUACAGAGUCACUGUGAUGAGAGAGGGGACAGGAAUCUCUGCCUGGUUCUUUUGGACAUGGAAGGACAGAGGAGAGGACUGAAUCUUUGAUAUCCAGCCUCCUAUCCCACUGAGUUCCAGGGGCUCGGCUCCUCUCUCCUGGUGAGGACUGGGGAUUCUGGGAGGAACAGGGUUGCUACCCAAGGGAGAAGAAUCAUCAUUUCAAAGAAUUGAAAAAGACACAAAAUACUGCUUCAAGCUUGAGGAUCUAUAGCCUGCCCACCCGAAGCCUCUGUGGCAGGGUCCCUGGAGACCCGGCAGGGCCAGUCCCUUCUCAGGCCAGUGUCCAGCUCUGAGCACUGAGUGCCACCUUCACAAGAGGGUCUUCCUCCAACUGUCACUCAAGGCCACAGCAGCCCUCAGAUCAGAAUAUCUGCUAGUGUGAAGGCUCAGUGCUGCAGACACACCACAUCUUCCUGCUCCUCCCUGUGCCUGCCACAUCCCUACCCAACCAGAAGGCUAACUUGGUUAGCAAUCCUUAGGAAGGAAGCAGAUGGUUUAGACCCCAAGAUGCUAGAUUUCUCUGGAAAUGUCUUUUAGGUACCUCCUUUCUGCAUGUUUUGUCAGGUGGUCCCAGGCUGCCAGGAUUGUGAUACCGGCCUCUCAGCCUCAGCUCCCUUUUCCCUCCAGCCCAGGUCUUAAACACCUCUUUUGGAGUGGCAUGCUCCUGCUAGAAAACUUGGGGGAUAAACUGAACCGGACCCUUGGGCCUCCAUGUACUGCCCCUGCAUGGAGCCAGACCUCCCCAGCUUAGUGCCCUGCUGUGUGUCCGGACUUGCAGUCAUUACCUGUGUUUUCCCAGGUUGCCCCCUGCCCCCCUCCCAGCUCCUCUUUCCAGAAAUAUUCUCAUCUAGCUUCACCGUGUGGUCUUUGCUAUCUGGUUUUUCUAGGUCUCUCAGAAAGUAGCAGGUUACACACAACACUUCUCCAAUGGGAGGAACCAUCUUCAGCCUCAAGAAAAGCCUAAGAAGUCAGAGUUUGUCAAAUCAAAACCUGAGGUUGAACUCUAGAAGCUACUCACUCUCUGACAGAAGAGGGAAAAGCAACAGCUACUCUGUGGCCUUGUGUGGCCUUGUUUGGCUGCUGGGAAUCGUGCAUCCGGGCUGUGGGAAACUGUGAGUGCAGGUGUGAAGGCGGCUGCUUUGCCUGUCAGGAAGGCAGCCAGGUUCCUGGUCCAGAACUCGGGUUCCCUUCGAGUGACUGUUCAGUGGACUCAGACAGAAGUUAAACAUAUGGGCUCUGGUGUUGCACUGCCUGAGUCUGAAUACGCAUUCCGUCACUCACCAGCUGGGAAAGCUUGGGCAAGACACUGGACACCUUAUGUGUGAAGUAAGGAUAAUAACUCUAUUGAUGGCACAGGGCAUAAUGUUGUGAGGAUUAAACAAGGUAAUGCAGGAAUGCAUGUAAAGGACUUAGUGUAGUGCCUGGUACAGAGCACACAUCUGACAGGUGACAGCUCUUCUUAUUAUCGUAUCUUAGGAUCGCUCAUGUGCACCUGAAGGCAAUUCCAGAGAGACUGCUGAGGGAUGGUAGAAAAUGGGGGCAUUACUUUCCACAGGACUGGUUGGCAGGUGUCCUGGUUUGCCUGUCUACCACUAUGUAAUGCCUAUCCUGGCAUUUAACAUCAAGUUAGGUGUUCGGAUUUCCUACCAUCUCCCUCCCUCUUUCUUUUCUGCACUUAAUACUUAUGGAGAGCCUACUGUAGGGCGCCUGGGCGGCUCAGUUGGUUGAGCAUCUGGCUCUUGAUUUAGGCUCAGGUCAUAAUCUCACAAUUGUGGGAUCGAGCUCUCCCUCACC